AACAGCAACAAAAUCAGCAACAUCCAAGGCACCCAGUGAGACCCGGAUCAUAUCACACUUUCGUUGUAAAACCACUGUGUGUCAUUGGUCAGGUCCCUCCCCUCUCUGGUCCUAAACUGCUUAGUAAUGAUGCUGAAAUCGAACCUUAUGAAACUCAUUCUUGAGAUGUGCCCUAAGCCUGGGUCAUCUCACUGAACAUGUACAAUGGUCUUUCCAGGAUCUGCAACAGCCCAGGACUCAAAGAAAUCAAGUAGCUUGUGCCUCGGCAGUUGGAACUCACACGCAGAGGUCCAGCCUUCGUUCCUAGCUCCAGCGUUCCUCCCAGAGCCAAUAUUCUCUGGAUGGGUUUCAAUGUGGAUAGCCACCAAGAGUUGCCCUGCCAUUGGCUGAUGGGGCACCCUUGACUCUGUCCACCCGCACCUCCAGGAGCUGAAGCUCAUUGAGGAAGGUGAAGCCAGCCCCGUCUCCACCCCUCACUCCUGAGAACCAACCAGUCCUGGGAUAAUUAAUGGUGUCCAAUGCAGACCUCCUUCCCUCACUGGUUCCUCAUAGCAGCCCUGAUGCUCUCAAUCAGUGUUUUCCAGAAAAUGAUGCUCUGAGGGGUGAAAAGACUCGGCCUAGGCUGCAUAUCUGCGUGUAAAUCAUGUGCCCACAAACUGUAUCAUGAUAUCCACGGAGAGCCUACAGUGGGACCUCUGGGCUUCGAUGAGAACGUUUGGUAGAGUCGCCUCAGGCUGCCCACAUGGCUUUGCCUCUGAUUACAUUCUCAUUCGUCUGUGCAAGGAAGACGGCUUGGCUUCAAGUAAAAGCUCUCGACCUUUGGAGUUUUGGGAUGCCUCCUCAGCCUUCCGCUCUGAGUCUACCUCCCAAGGCACCCAGUGGGAGCUGCCUCACCAAGCACCCCUGGCAUCAGUAAGGCUAGCGUCCCUGACAUAGACUGAAAGAUUUGCCAUUUGUCGCUGUUUGGAGAGGCUGAUGGCGCCCUUCGUGGGCGGUAGAUCACACACAUCAGAGGUUUGAAUCAAAUCAAACUGCAACUGAAUUACACUAAUAAACCAAUUAAAUGCCAUUCAAAAAGUAA